AUCUUUACUACAGAGCAUAUACUGAAGACAGAAUGGCAGGAGACGUAGACCCAAGACAGGUGGACCUUCUCCAUGAUUGAACUGUGAGGUCAUCAGCACAGCAAGCUACAUCUCUGGACUUCUGUGAGGUCAUCUUUACUACAGAGCAUAUACUGAAGACAGAAUGGCAGGAGACGUAGACCCAAGACAGGUAAUUAAUAUUAUUAUUAAUUACUGAUAACUUCCAGGCUAGACUUUAGUUCUAGACCUGUAGAGGCGUGGUAAUAUAUUCCUGCUAUACAUGUAUAUUUAUCAGAUAUGUGUGUUUGCCGUAGACUCUAUUCUUUGUAAAAAUGAAGGGAUAAUAAAUAGGCCCCUUAGAGAGAAAUCACCCUGCCAACAGGGACAAGUGCAAAGAGAUAGUUAUGCAACAGAGUGUGUGUAUGUGUAUAUGUGUGUGUGUAUGAGCUGUUACAUGUUAUGAAAUUUAGACUGUAAGCUCCAAUAGGGCAGGGACUCUUGUGAGUAAUAUAUGAUAUACUCUACUCAGCGAUGCAUACAUUUUUGUUGAUAGGGUCAUCUGUGAUAUAGAGUGAUCGAUAGAUAGUUAUUUCCCCAGUAUGUAGAUUAUUUAGAUUUA